GGGGAUGCACGUAUAGUCUCUGCAGAUGCUAGUGCACCAAAUCCAAAUGACUUGUUGAGUACUGCACGCCUAAAGAAAAAGGAGGUUCAAACAAAAACUUCAAAACGCAAAAGAAAUUGGUUGGAUAAGAAGCACAAGGCUAGGAAAAAGAGACAAAGCAAAGCUACAUCACAGGUUGGGGAAGUGGCAUGUAAUGAUGGUGCAUAUGUUCAAUCGGCACAUAUUUCUAUGAUGCAAGAGGUUGGUGAAGGGGCAUGUAAUGCUGGUGCACAAGUACAAGCACAUAUCAUAGAUGAUAGUGUUUCUGGGGACAAAGGGGCAUAUAGUACUGAUUACAAUAUCAAUUUUAGCUGCACUCAAUUG
rnacentral:rRNA from 1 species